CAGCCUUCGGAUGGCGGGGGCGCCGCCCUUGGCCACUACGGUGUUGAGCGUGUGAAAGAGCAUGGUGACGUGUGUGUCAUUCAUUACCACCUCCUUCUCUUUCAUCUCCUUCAGGAUGUCCACCGCCUCUGUGAUGGAGGGAGAGAGAGUUCAAGAAAGCAAACGCCAAUGUGAAGAAAUGUUCAUUUCAGUAGCACUACUUCCUACAACUCUCAACAUGUGUGAUGCUUUGGUGUCCUGAGGGUGUAAGCCUCUCAAUCAAAAGAUGAAGUGAUGGCGAGAGUGAUUUAGAGACCCGCUAAUCACUGAGACCAAUGGCUUGGAGUUGAUCUGCCCAAAUGGAGCUAGCUAACAUCGCUUCGUCCACCAUCCAAAACCCCAGCCCCCCCCUCCAUCUCUCCCUUUAUCCGUCCGUUUAGCCAGUAUGCAUAUCCAUCAGCUCAGCCGAGCAUCGUGGCCAGCAAAGCGAGCCAGAACACACACAUCAAAAGAUGGGGAGGCAGACAGGCCAGGUAAACAAACAUCACACAG